rnacentral:lncRNA from 1 species
GGUUCAUUUUAUUUUUUUCUUUAUACUUCUUUUGUAUUUUCCAAAUUUUCUACAAGUAACAGACCUUGUAUUUUAUAUAUAUAUAUAUAUAUAAUAUAUAUAUAUAUUUUUUUGGUGAGGAAGAUUGGCCCUGAGCUAAGAUGUAUUGCCAAUCUUCCUCUUUUUGCUUGAGGAAGAUUAGCCUUGAGCUAACAUCUGUGCCAAUCUUCCUCUAUUUUGCAUGUGAGACACCACUACAGCAUGGGCUGAUGGAUGGUAUGUAGGUCCGUGCCCAGGAUCUGAACCCAUGAUCCCCAGGCUGCUGAAGCGGAGUGAAUGAACUUAACCACUAUGCCACCGGGCCAUGCCACAUUGUAUUUAAAAUGAGAAAAAAAUGACAUUUUGUGAAGGAAUAAAAAAAGAAUAUAAUAAAAACACCACUAGGUAAUUAUAUCAGCUCUGAAUUUGCCAAGCAUUUGCCAUUCAUAAUACGCCUGCCUUCUUAAGGAGACGGAAUAAACAAGCAUCACAGUUCAAACAGUGAUAUCCUGCCAGAUCUCAAUAGCCUUCUGUCCCAGCCAGGAGCCCUGCAGAAUUCCCGUGCCCUCUUCCUCAUUCUGUCUCAGUCUAGGUCUCCAUGGAAGCAGCCUUCACUGAGCAGAAGUUCUGUGUCAAGCCCUGGAUCAAGUGCUGAGAACAGAGAUCCGUCAUGCAUGGUUCCUGUUCUCAAGGAGCUCAGAGUCUGUCGGGAAACACAUGUUGCCGCACAGGGUGAUUCACGCUAAACUCGAGGUAAGCAAGGGUGCCAAGGGAGCACGGAGGAGGCCCCUAAGCCAACCUGGUGAUAGGUGCAGUGCAUCAGUCUGCACAGGAAACAGAUAGCCUCUCCUUUCGACAUCCACUGCUGCCACCGUGGCUCAGGCCUGCACCGCUUCACGCUUGGACAUCUGCAGUAGCUUGACGUUCACAACUCCACUAUUGCCCCCUCCAGCCCGGCCUCCACACUGUCUGUGAGCAGCAUUCAGAUUUCUAAAGAAAAGGUAAAAUUUAACUCCUUACUUUCCACUCUUACUUUUUGUGUCACUCCUCUCGCCACCUCCAAAUAUGACGCCAGUUUGCUAAAUUCAUCUCAUUAUUGAUCUAUGUUACACCGUUGCUAUUUCUGCCUCCUCUGUGUUUAAUGUCCUUCCCCUUCUAUGUUUGUCUAGAAAAUACCCACUCAUCAUUCAGAGUUCUGCUAAAGUGUCUGUCGCCUUUUUUAUGAAGAUUUUCUUUCUUUCUUUUUUUUUUUUAAAGAUUUUAUUUUUCCUUUUUUUCUCCCAAAGCCGCCCAGUACACAGUUGUGUAUUUUUAGUUGUGGGUCCUUCUAUUUGUGGCAUGUAGGACGCCACCUCAGCAUGGCUCGAUGAGCAGUACCAUGUCCCUGUCCGGGGAUUCAAACUGGUGAAACCCUGGGCCACUGAAGCAGAGCGCGUGAACUUAACCACUCGGCCAUGGGGCCAGCCCCUGAAGAUUUUCUUGAUUACUUCUCCAACUAGUUAGAAAUCACCAUUCCCUUAUUUGAAUGGCUAUUGGAGCACAUUUAACACUUUCCUGCAUUUAUUGGUCUAUACAUCUGUCUUUUUCAUUAAAUAAUCAGCUUUAAAGACAGAAGAGUAAUGUUAUUCAUCUCAGUAUCCCAAGUAUCUAGCACAGGAGUUGGCAAACAUUUUUUGUAAAAUGCCACGUAGUAAAUAUUUUAGGCUUUGGCCAGACGUUCUCUAUCACAACUAUUCGACUUCGCCAACAUAGAGCAAAGCACAAAGGAAUGGGCAUGGCUUGUUCCAAUAAAACUUUAUUUACCAAAACA